UGGCCGGUCGGUUCGGACGAGCCCUCGUGCUGCCAGCGCGGGCUGUCCCCGGCCUCCUGCGGGUCGAGCCCGUAAUCGACCAU
rnacentral:tRNA from 1 species